rnacentral:rRNA from 1 species
UACGUAGGGAGCAAGCGUUGUCCGGAUUUAUUGGGCGUAAAGAGCUCGUAGGCGGUUCGGUAAGUCGGGUGUGAAAACUCUGGGCUCAACCCAGAGAUGCCACUCGAUACUGCUGUGACUUGAGUCUGGUAGGGGAGCACGGAAUUCCUGGUGUAGCGGUGAAAUGCGCAGAUAUCAGGAGGAACACCAGUGGCGAAGGCGCCACUCUGGGCCGUAACUGACGCUGAGGAGCGAAAGCGUGGGUAGCAAACAGG